GACGAACGCUGGCGGCGUGCCUAAUACAUGCAAGUCGAACGCAGUGGGGACGGGUGAGUAACACGUGGGUAACCUCCCAUCAGAGGGGAUAACACUUGGAAACAGGUGCUAAACCGAUACUGAUGGAUGGACCCGCGGGGCAUUAGCUAGUUGGUGAGGUAACGGCGCACCAAGGCCACGAUGCAUAGCCGGUCUGAGAGGGUGAUCGGCCACACUGGGACUGAGACACGGCCCAGACUCCUACGGGAGGCAGCAGUAGGGAAUCUUCGGCAAUGGGCGAAAGUCUGACCGAGCAAUGCCGCGUGAGUGAAGAAGGUUUUCGGAUCGUAAAGCACUGUUGGCAGGGAGGCGGUACCUACCCAGGAAGCCACGGCUAACUACGUGCCAGCAGCCGCGGUAAUAC
rnacentral:rRNA from 1 species